AGUGAACGCUGGCGGUAGGCCUAACACAUGCAAGUCGAACGGCAGCACAGUAAGAGCUUGCUCUUACGGGUGGCGAGUGGCGGACGGGUGAGGAAUACAUCGGAAUCUACUUUUUCGUGGGGGAUAACGUAGGGAAACUUACGCUAAUACCGCAUACGACCUACGGGUGAAAGCAGGGGAUCUUCGGACCUUGCGCGAUUGAAUGAGCCGAUGUCGGAUUAGCUAGUUGGCAGGGUAAAGGCCCACCAAGGCGACGAUCCGUAGCUGGUCUGGGAGGAUGAUCAGCCACACUGGAACUGAGACACGGUCCAGACUCCUACGGGAGGCAGCAGUGGGGAAUAUUGGACAAUGGGCGCAAGCCUGAUCCAGCCAUACCGCGUGGGUGAAGAAGGCCUUCGGGUUGUAAAGCCCUUUUGUUAGGAAAGAAAAGCAGCAGGUUAAUACCCCGCUGUUCUGACGGUACCCAAAGAAUAAGCACCGGCUAACUUCGUG
rnacentral:rRNA from 1 species